rnacentral:rRNA from 1 species
GAUGAACGCUGGCGGCGUGCCUAAUACAUGCAAGUCGAGCGAACAGACGAGGAGCUUGCUCCUCUGACGUUAGCGGCGGACGGGUGAGUAACACGUGGAUAACCUACCUAUAAGACUGGGAUAACUUCGGGAAGCCGGAGCUAAUACCGGAUAAUAUAUUGAACCGCAUGGUUCAAUAGUGAAAGACGGUUUUGCUGUCACUUAUAGAUGGAUCCGCGCCGCAUUAGCUAGUUGGUAAGGUAACGGCUUACCAAGGCAACGAUGCGUAGCCGACCUGAGAGGGUGAUCGGCCACACUGGAACUGGGGACCGGUCCAGACUCCUACGGGAGGGCGCAGUAGGGAAUCUUCCGCAAUGGGCGAAAGCCUGACGGAGCAACGCCGCGUGAGUGAUGAAGGUCUUCGGAUCGUAAAACUCUGUUAUUAGGGAAGAACAAAUGUGUAAGUAACUAUGCACGUCUUGACGGUACCUAAUCAGAAAGCCACGGCUAACUACGUG